rnacentral:lncRNA from 1 species
AGGUUUGAUACUGCCGUCUACAAACCUUUGCUGACCUGAGGAAUUGCCAAAGAUGGUUGUUGACGACAUCGCUAUUUAAAACACAAAGCACAACCCUGAUGUGCCUUCAUAUAUAGCGUGUAUGGCCAAAAAUAUGUGGACCCCUACUAAUUGUUGAGUUAAGGUAUUUCAACCUCACACAUUGCUAACAAGUUACUACAUCUGAACUGCUCAACUGUAUGUGCUCUUGUUUUGGAGCAACAAAUCCUGGCCGUGAAGUGUUAAAUAUGGAUACUUAAAACAAUAAAGGGAACGCGUAAAAUAAAGGGAACGCGUAAAAUAAAGGGGGUUAUAGAGGGGCAGAUAAUAACUGAAUGGGGUAAUUCAGGGGGUUAUAGAGGGGCAGAUAAUAACUGAAUGGGGUAAUUCAGGGGCUUAUAGAGGGGCAGAUAAUAACUGAAUGGGGUAAUUCAGGGGGUUAUAGAGGGGCAGAUAACUGAAUGGGGUAAUUCAGGGGGUUAUAGAGGGGCAGAUAAUAACGGAAUGGGGUAAUUCAGGGGGUUAUAGAGGGGCAGAUAAUAACGGAAUGGGGUAAUUCAGGGGGUUAUAGAGGGGCAGAUAAUAACGGAAUGGGGUAAUUCAGGGGGUUAUAGAGGGGCAGAUAACAACGAAUGGGGUAAUUCAGGGGUUAUAGAGGGCAGAUAACAACGGAAUGGGGUAAUUCAGGGGGUUGUAGAGGGCAGAUAAUAACCGGAAUGGGGUAAUCAGGGGUUAUAGAGGCAGGAUAAUAACCGAAUGGGGUAAUUCAGGGGUUAUAGAGGGGCAGAUAACUGAAUGGGUAAUUCAGGGGUUAUAGGAGGGCAGAUAAUAACCGAAUGGGGUAAUUCAGGUUAUAGAGGGGCAGAUAAUAACGGAAUGGGGUAAUUCAGGGGCAUAUAGAGGGCGCAGAUAAUAACGAAUGGGGUAAUUCAGGGGUUAUAGAGGGGCGUGAUAACAACGGGAAUGGGGUAAUUCAGGGGUAAUAGAGGGGCAAAUAAUAACGGAAGGGGGUAAUUAAGGGGGUUAUAGAGGGGCAGAUAAUAACGGAAUGGGGUAAUUCAGGGGGUUAUAGAGGGGCAGAUAAUAACGGAAUGGGGUAAUUCAGGGGGUUAUAGAGGGGCAGAUAAUAACGGAAUGGGGUAAUUCAGGGGGUUAUAGAGGGGCAGAUAAUAACGGAAUGGGGUAAUUCAGGGGGUUAUAGAGGGGCAGAUAACAACGGAAUGGGGUAAUUCAGGGGGUUAUAGAGGGGCAGAUAACGGAAUGGGGUAAUUCAGGGGGUUAUAGAGGGGCAGAUAACGGAAUGGGGUAAUUCAGGGGGUUAUAGAGGGGCAGAUAACGGGAAUGGGGUAAUUCAGGGGUUAUAGAGGGGCAGAUAACGGAAAUGGGUAAGACAGGGGUUAUAGAGGGGCAGAUAAUGGAAAUGGGUAAGUCAGGGGGUUAUAGAGGGGCAGAUAAUAAUGGAAUAGGGUAAGUCAGAGAGUAUAGAAUAAAAUCUGUAUCACAAAAUGGCGUUUGAAAUAACCAAAUUAGGCUGAAAGUCAAAAUCUGCCAUUUUAGUCUCCGCUUUUCCGUUAACCAUUUAGUUAUCUAAAAUUCCAAGUUUAGCAGCGAACCUAGAAUGGGAUACAUUUUAUUUACCAGGGUGACAUAAAACAUAAAUAUUUGAUUUUGGUUUUGCAUUGAGAUAUAUAUAUAUUUUUUUUAAAGUAGAUUUUAUAUCAAAACAUGCCAACAUCUAGUGUUUUCUAGACUGGGCACAGACUGAAAAUUACCUUUGGCGUUCUCAGUAGCCUUUGGUGAGAUACCUGUGCCUAUAUUGAUCUGGAGCAUUAAGCUUAUUACCCACCUUUAAUUAAAAUGUGGACGUAAUGAAACCCAUGCUCCUACACCGCGAUGUCCUGCAGAUGUACCUUCUCUGUGGUGUUAUCCUUUUAACGCCUGAAUGAACAUUGAUAUUCUUUGCCAUCGUAAAUAUUGGGUCUUUAAGGACCAUAUUACAAACUAUAAUCUCGCUCAUUUAAUAUCAUGCAGGCCUUUAUAGAGUUAUUGAUUCGGAUUUCCACAAUGUCUUCCUUGGCACACUAUAAACCUGCUGAUGGACGUUGCAUGAAAAGUGCUGUGGUGUAGUAUGUUGUAAUGGAUAAGUCCUUUAAUGGAAUCCAAUCCUUUGGCAUUGAUCUCUUGAAUAAUGAAGGCUACUUACUGGUCAACACUUUUCACUUAUCAUCCAACAACAUGUUGACUUUUUUUUUUUGUGUCCUUAUUGUAACGUAUAAUUAUUAAUACACUCUCCAGGUUGCCGGCAGUUAUGCACAUUUCAAACCAAUCUUGUUAGCCUAUGGCAUCCGUUCUAAUUCUAGAAUUAUAGUUCUAUAGAUUAGCUAGCUUACUGAUUUUGAUGGACAACUUUUAACUCUCUAAUUUUGUUUACAGGUUUGAUACUGCCGUCUACAAACCUUUGCUGACCUGAGGAAUUGCCAAAGAUGGUUGUUGAAGACAUCGCUAUUUAAAACACAAGGCACAACCCUGAUGUGCCUUCAUAUAUAGCGUAUAUGGCCAAAAAUAUGUGGACCCCUUACUAAUUGUUGAGUUAAGGUAUUUCAACCUCACACAUUGCUAACAAGUUACUACAUCUGAACUGCUCAACUGUAUGUGCUCUUGUUUUGGAGCAACAAAUCCUGGCCGUGAAGUGUUAAAUAUGGAUACUCAAAAAAAUAAAGGGAACACGUGAAAUAAGGGGAACACGUGAAAUAAGGGGAACACGUGAAAUAAGGGGAACACGUGAAAUAAGGGGAACACGUGAAAUAAGGGGAACACGUGAAAUAAGGGGAACACGUGAAAUAAGGGGAACACGUGAAAUAAGGGGAACACGUGAAAUAAGGGGAACACGUGAAAUAAGGGGAACACGUGAAAGAAGGGGAACACGUGAAAUAAGGGGAACAAGUGAAAUAAGGGGAAACGUGAAAUAAAGGGAACCGCGAGAAAUAAGGGGAACACGUGAAAUAAGGGGAACAAGUGAAAUAAGGGGAACACGUGAAAUAAGGGGAACAAGUGAAAUAAGGGGAACACGUGAAAUAAGGGGAACACGUGAAAUAAGGGGAACACGUGAAAUAAGGGGAACACGUGAAAUAAGGGGAACACGUGAAAUAAGGGGAACACGUGAAAUAAGGGGAACACGUGAAAUAAGGGGAACACGUGAAAUAAGGGGAACACGUGAAAUAACUACAACUGAGCGCAGAUAUGUUGGUGAAUUAUGUAAUUGCAUUGUCCAAACAAUUGACCAAAAUCCAUGCACAAGUAUUUUCCUCCAUUCCAGAUCCAGAAGCCAACACAGGGUCUCAUAGCUUAUGCCCUGGAGACUGGGUCCUGGUAAAGAAGUUUGUGAGAAAGCACUCUCUAGAACCCAGAUUCGAAGGGCCAUACCAGGUGCUGCUUACUACCCCGACAUCUGUAAAACUGACGGGAAAGAGCAGUUGGAUACACGCCUCUCGCUGCAAAAAGACUCAAGAUCCGGCAGAAACAGUACAAUAAGAGACCAUGGUUCACCCGAUAUAUAUCCUUUUUGCUAUAAGGUUAACAAUAGCGCUACAUGUUUCAAUAACCAAAGAUGAUGAUAAUGUGGUAACCUUCUGGUAUAAUUCUUCCAACACACAUGUGGCUACCUACACCUUUGACUAUUGUGACAUAGUAACUUGCCCACACGUCCCCUGGCAAUGUAACUUAUAUAGAGACACGCCUAGGUCUAGAUCAACUUAUAUUUGUGUUACAGACGAAUACUGGGGACACGAGUGCAGUUACUGGGGAGCGGUGGGAUGGAAUACAGGACCAGAUUGGGGAUACAGACCACAAAGUGCCUUGGAUAAGAAAGAUAAAAAUGGAAAUUCCCUGAUAAGUAGAAUGACCUUGUUAAGAACAAACAAGACGUGCCUGAACGAAGGAGGUUCAGGCCAAAUGAAACACACACUAACCAUUGAGAACCCUAGUCCCUCCGAUGCUGGUACAUAUAUAAUGUCCAUAUGGGUGGCGGGGGGCUCAAAUGGAGCAAAGGGUAAAUUCCACCUUAAGGACAUGUACAAUUCCAGUGAAUGGGUAGCACCUAACACCACUACCCAACCAGCUAAGGGAAGAUAAGUACACAAAAGAAAGCGGCCCGAUCCUCCUCCUACAUAGUGCUGCAAUUGUGGAACGACCUCCUGCGCAAUUUAAAAUCUUCCCUAAGCCUAAAGUCAUUUAAGAGAUCCCUCUCUACAUACCUCAAAACAGAAUGCAUGUGUUAUGGUUGAUUAUAUAUUUCCUGCCUGUUCUAUGUUAAAUUUUGUAUAUAUUGUGUAUUAAAAUUGUUUUUGUAUUUUGUUGUACCUAAUGUAACAAUGCAGUGAUUUGUGGACCCAGGACAUACUUAAAAAAAACCAGAGAAAUCUCAAUGUAUCUUUCCUGGUAAAAUAUUUUAUAAAUAAAUAAAACAAUAAAUAAAACCAUGAUGGCCAUAGCUGAUCCCACAUUCGAAGACACCAUAGCUGCUGAGACAGGUUUCUCAGAUACCAACCUGUGGUUGGAAUGGAUGAGAUAUAAUGCCAAUAAACACAACAAAACCAACUGCUACGUAUGUGGGGGGGCAAGACCACACUUCUUGCCCUCCAGCGAGGAAUCCUGCUUCUUAAGCCUAUACACAAACACAACCACGAACCAGACCCAGUGUGAGAACUGGAAAAAAGAAUACCCCAUCCUAGUAAGAAUAACUAAGCUAAAAGAGGGUGUCACAAUAUAUCCAGGAAAUUACACAUGUUAUGGAUGCUAUGAAAAAAGGGGGGUAGAAGUGGGCAACCUUACCAUGGGAUACUGUGGUACAUACUCUUCACUGGGAUGUGACAAGGUAAAAAACCAAACCCGGUCUCUGGGCGAUAUAUAUUGGAUAUGUGGCGACAUGAGGUUGAGAAGCAAACUCCCCGCUGAUUGGUAUGGAGAGUGUGCUUUGGCAGCGGUCGUUAUGCCCUUACACAUAAUGGGGACU